rnacentral:rRNA from 1 species
UACGUAGGGUGCAAGCGUUGUCCGGAAUUAUUGGGCGUAAAGAGCUCGUAGGCGGUCUGUCACGUCUGCUGUGAAAACCCAGGGCUUAACCCUGGGCUUGCAGUGGAUACGGGCAGACUAGAGGCAGGUAGGGGAGAAUGGAAUUCCCGGUGUAGCGGUGAAAUGCGCAGAUAUCGGGAGGAACACCGGUGGCGAAGGCGGUUCUCUGGGCCUGUACUGACGCUGAGGAGCGAAAGCGUGGGGAGCGAACAGG